GCUCCGCUUUUGCAUGAAUGGUUUAAGCUGGUCCUGGAGAAGAAUAAAUUAUUGCAGUAUGAGUCUGAGCUCUUGAGCAUGGCCCAGGAGCUGGAACUGGAAGAUAACCAGAGCAGAUGGGAGCAGGAACAAAAAGGGAAAGUGACCUCAGAUGAACACAAGAAAGAGGAAACAGACCUGGAGGAGGAGGAGGAGGAGGAGAGCUUCACCAAGACACU